UUCUUUAAUUGAAUAUUAAAUAACAGUGCAAGACAAAAUAGAGGUCACACGUUGGUCUUCUUCUUACAAGUUAAAGGGUUCGCAUGGUAGCGGUUUCAUCUUCUUGCUCAGGUUCGAAUCUGCAGUUUGCAUUUGCAGUUGAUGUUUUUAGAGAUUUUAAUA